ACUCAAAUGAAUAGACGGGGGCCCGCACAAGCGGUGGAGCAUGUGGUUCAAUUCGACGCAACGCGAAGAACCUUACCCAGACUUGACAUCGAUGGAACCUGGUAGAAAUACCGGGGUGCCCUUCGGGGCCCAGAAGACAGGUGCUGCAUGGCUGUCGUCAGCUCGUGUCGUGAGAUGUUGGGUUAAGUCCCGCAACGAGCGCAACCCUCGCCGUUAGUUGCCAUCAGGUAAUGCUGGGCACUCUAACGGGACUGCCGGUGUCAAACCGGAGGAAGGUGGGGAUGACGUCAAGUCCUCAUGGCCUUUAUGUCUGGGGCUACACACGUGCUACAAUGGCCGCCACAAACCGCAGCGAACUCGUAAGAGGGAGCCAAUCGGAAAAAAGCGGCCUCAGUUCAGAUCGGAGUCUGCAACUCGACUUCGUGAAGCCGGAAUCGCUAGUAAUCGUGGAUCAGCAUGCCACGGUGAAUACGUUCCCGGGCCUUGUACACACCGCCCGU
rnacentral:rRNA from 1 species